rnacentral:lncRNA from 1 species
UUUUGGUGGUAAACACAAUUUCCACUUGCUUAACAAGUGUAAAUUGGCGGCCUAUUUUUAUGUGAACAUUGCUUAAAGCAUUACAACUGAUGUCAUUACGUCAAUAAAUUUGGUUUUAGUUUUCACUCACAAGAAAGGAGAAGGAAAAGAUUUCUUUGUGUCCCAGGCCUUGUCAUUAAAACCUUUCCCAAUGUGGAGAACAGGUUUAGUUGCCCAGAGCACCUUCAGUGUCUCAGCUGAGCGACCAGGGCCUUCCACAUUGCAAGAAUGCCCAUGAUGGCCAGCAGAGAGAGCUCGAGCACCACAGACCCGGACGGGCGGGUUCCUCUGCCCAGGCAGUGAUGGCCAGCAGAGGGCGCACCAUCGGCUUUUCUGACCCAGGGCACCUGAGAGCAGGAAGAGCUUUGAUUGCUCCCAGAGGACUCAGGGCCUCUGCCGCUGCCUCAGUACAGAGAGCAGAGCUGCAUUUCCAGCAGGGUCCCACGACAUCACCUCAUCGAUGCAGUCGAUGGUUUGUUCCAGAUUCAGGCUAGUUUCCGGGAAGAAACCCUGACAGAAAUUCAGAAGAACGGGAGCUGCAUUCCGUUAGGACAUGAAUACAUGAAAUUCUCUUCCUGGGAACUCCUAGAAGUAUGAGCUAGGACCCAUUUUCCAAGUUCUGCUGAAACCAGUGACCGAGGUAAAGGCACAAACUGUCCCCCACAUCAUACAUGCUUUUUCAAAAAUUUCAUGGUUAUUUUUCGAACCUAGUGAAGUGAUUGCAAACUACAGAAAACCUGGUAGGUACCUGUCAUUGACGUACGUUAUCUUUAAUUUAAAUUGCAGUGAGUAAAGAUACAGUGUAGUGUUAGUUUCAGGUGUAAAAUAUAGAGCAACCCCUCCACACGUCAUCCGGUGCUCAUCCCAGGUGCACUUCUUAAUCCCCAGCAGCUCUUUCACCCAUUCCCCACCUUGCUCUGGAAGCCCUCAGUUUGUUUCCUAGUUAAAAGUCUGUUUGUCACUGUCUCCUCCCCGCCCCCCCCCCCCCGCUUUGUUUUGUUUUAUAUCCAUGUGUUAGUGAAAUCAUCUGGUAUUUGUCUUUGUCUGAAAGGCUUAUUUCACCCAGGAUAACAUUCUCUCGCUCCAUCCAGCUCAUGGCAAAUGACAAGAUUUCAUGCUUUUACGGCCUAAUAAUAUUACAUUCCAUAUACCACAUCUCAAUUUAUUCAUCAGUUGAUGGAUGCUUGGAUAGUUUCUGUAAUUUGGCUGUUGUAGGAAAUGCUGCUGUAAGCAUCACGGUGCAUGUAUCCCUUUGAAGAUUUUGUAUUCUUUGUGGAAAUACCUUCGAGUGAAAUUGCUGGAUCGUAAGGUACUUCUAUUUCCA